GCAAUGGAUGUUCCGAUGGGUGGCGGGGACAGGCCUGUGAGUUGCACUGCUCUGAAAACUGUCUAAGAUGUCAACAGAAAAGUGGAAACUGCACAGCAUGUCGCCAAGGGUUCGAGUAUGAUGGACGAAGUCAAUGUACCGCUAUGAUCCAUGUCACUACCAGCGAGGUCCCGAUUCCAGAGCAAGAUUCCAAAGUUGCUAUUGUGGUUAUUUCCAUCAUAGUUGCUCUCACCAUAGUUGCAGCAGUCUUUAUUGGGAUCUAUAUCAGUUGUAGGAGACGAAUGCAUCCUCAGGAGACUUGCAGGGACAAGUGGUGCAUAAAUUGGAGAGGAAUGGCUUGCUGGGGUAAGAGGAUACAUGGAUCCCGUCACAAUGCCUCGCAAGUUGGAGGAACAGCAAGACUUACAGAUGUCCCUUGCAGUACAGAAGAAUGAUUCCAAAUCCGCCAUCUCUGUGCAAACAUCCAAGUCCAUACAGACCACAACAUGUAUUGCAUCCAAACAAUUUCGACCAGAAAGCAUACCAGCCAAGGAAACUUCUAAAAGCCAUCCACGUCAAAAGACUCCAACCUGUCAUGAACAGAGAUCGUGGUUAUUACCUUCCAACACCUUCCAACACCUUUCACUACAUACAUGCAUUAUAUAUACUCUUCAAAAAAGUAGGGGAACUCCAUUUUUAAUUCACCAUUGAUAAUAAUGAAUGUUUUGAGAGUGCAUCACCACUUGCACUUCCUUAUAACCAUAGGGAAACUAGUUGGUUGUACACAAAUCGCUCUUGAAAGAUGAUUGGUGUAUGACGUCAAAUUUGUAUGUGUACGAUUUACAUUUUCAAACCAUAAAAACGGUUAGAACAAUCACUAACAACUGUGCGAUGCAAGAUGAUUGUCGAAAGUUAAUGGUCUACGGUCAUUUAUCGACCUUCUUGAAAACCGUCAAAAUCAAGAAUGACACCCCAUGCACGUGUAUGGGGCUACUGCGCUGUGCACGUGCAUCCCAUGCGUUCUGUUUAGGGGUGGUGAUAAAGAAAAGUGAAGGUGCGUUCAUAAGAUGUCUGUCUUUGAAAAGUUUGUUAACGCUUAUAAUUCCUAUUCAAAUUGAAAUCUCAGAUAUCCUACUUUUUUAAGAAUAUAUAUAUUUUUAAUCUUCCCACUUCUGUACAUCACAUGCUUCAUAAUCGCGUUAGUAUCUACACGCAUAUUUCUCAUUCGUUUACAUGUAAGUUGCACAAUCUGAGAACAAUCCCCCUUCUUCAUCACACCAUCAUGGCUUCAGUUGUGUGUAGCGUGAACUGUUCCUAGAUUGGCGCCAAAACAACUUUUAUUCCUCGAUACGAAGAAAACCAAACAGAUGGUGAUAGUCAAAAAAGAAUAUACAGCAAAUACCAAUAACUGUUACAAAAUAAUACCAACAAAUACUGCACCGUUUACGUAAACUGAGGUCCUUUAUUGUUAGCAGUUUUAUUCUUGUUUUGUUUUAUUCAAAAACAUCCGAGUCAGCAUACAUUGUCAAUGCCUAUAACUCUUUAAAUCAAUAGGCUUAAAUGCUAAAUGUGUUUGCCCCAUGUACAACAAUCUCAUGCUAUGGUAUCUCAUCACAGCAUCUGAUGUCAUAUUUAUUGCCAUAGACUUAAAUCAGGAAUAAUCUGUAUAGUUAUGUUUUCGUUGAAAAAGUAAUAUAUGAGUUCUAACUAACUAAACACUAAAGCUGUCCUGUCAUGUUUGGUUCAUGGAUAUCGUCAAAAUGAUCUUCAGCAAUCACGUGUGCCAUUCAAUAAACACUUGCUCGUUCACAUACACAGUCAGUGCCCUCCAGAAAUUAUCACUUACACAUCUGAUUGACUUUGUUUUGUGAUAUAUGUGACUUCGUUGUAUUUCUUGUUGUUAUUUCUUUGGUUUUUUAUUGUUUCCCUUAUGUUAUAUCAUGUAUGAUAUAUAAUCUAUUUGGCAGUCCCAUCUAUUUGGUGUGUCGAAGAUUAUACAUAUACUUCACUUUCCAAAUAAGUUAAAGUGAUGGGUCAUGUAAAAUGCAAUUUCAAUGCGCUGUAAUUAUA